GGGUGGAUAAGCUCAGUGGUAGAACACAUGCCUGGCAUGCAUGAGGUCCUGGGUUCAAUCCCCAGUGCCUCCA
rfam:Camelus ferus unplaced genomic scaffold scaffold877, whole genome shotgun sequence.